rnacentral:misc_RNA from 1 species
CUCCUAAUCUAAUAAUCUAAAUAAACAAUACAAAGUAAUUUAUUUUUUUUCUUUUAUUUUAUCUUAUUUUUUAUUUAAUUUCUCUCAAAACAAACAUUACAAAAUAAAUUAAAUUUCUUGUCUUUUAUUUUCAUUUUUUUUUAAUUUCUCUACAUUUCCCUUUUCCUUUACCAAUUAAAAAUCCAAACAACAAAGGGUAAAAGAACGCAUUUAAACCCAUUCCUUCCCCUUUCCGCCUAUUAUUUUCGUGUAAACAUACGGGAGAGAGAGAGAAAGAGAGCCCGUCCCCUUUUUGCUCUAGUUCGACCUCGCGAGGACUUCUGCCGUCGUCGCUAAUUCUAAUUGAGCCACAUUACUCUUCUCCUUUCCGACCAUGGACCGACGAAGAUCCCUAUUGCCAUCAUGCAACUCUGUGUCGCGAUUUCCUCUCAUCUCAAUCAGACGAUCACAUAGAGAAGAAAUAAAGCUUACCAAAGCUCUUCAACAGCAUUUUCAGUAAUACUACGAUCGGAGAGCUCGCUUCCGUCAUUACCAGCAAUUCCACGCUCCAUUUCUCGGUCCAAUACGAGUGUAUGCGUGAAGAAAAGAGACACAGAAUAGAAAGGAAAUAACACAUAUUUUUUUCAACAUGGAUGUGCCACAUCCGACUUGUUCUAAUGAUUACUGUUAACUAUAAAUUGAUGGAGGUUGGGGAAAUUUUAGGCUUAAUUAAAUUGAAUGCAGAAGAGGGUAUUGAUGAACAAAGACUUUGAUUUUUUUUGGCCAUGAAAUUUGAUUAUUUGACCAGUUUCUGAAUAACCUAUUCCUUCAGUGGUUUAACUACCAUAAUUAUAGAGUCCACCAAAUUCAACAACAUAAAUGAAGUCUUCAAUUUGUUCAGCUAACAGCCAUCCAUACCUACACAUGGCCAUUUCACUUGCUAGCAUAAAAUCAUGAUCAUACAUAAACAGCAGAGGAGAGAGAGGGAGAGAGAAGCAGCAAGACAAUUACCACAAUACUUUUUCAUCACAAGAGAUAGCUGUUCCUAUAAAUCUCUCGCCCCAACCCAGUAAAUUCAAUAACCAAAUGAUGUUCAAUACAGAUCAAGCUGACCAAAAACCUUUCCAAAAUAAAAAUACCUCAGUACCCGGAUAAAGUAAUGAUAAACCACAUUAGAAAAUUUUGCUUCCAUUCUACUCCCUCUUUGAUUUUGAUAGCGAUUUUUUUCUCUGCCCAAGCAUAUAGCUGUACAUAUGAGGACUGCCUGCAAUAGUUGAUGACAUUUGACCAAUAAAGUUUGCACUUGGCAAGCAAAAACCCACCAAGAAAAUAAAUGAGGUGGAUCUACCAUGGAGGAUAUAAUAAUUUCAUACCUGGGACAUAGACUCCAAGUACAAGAAUUGCAGCAUAGAAGUAAUCAAAAGAAAAGUUCCAUGUGUUGGGCAUCCUUACACAAUACUUCUCAGAUUUCUUGAUGUAUGGCAAGGCAAAAUAUAUUAGACCAACUUCACUGCUGAUACCAGUGGGAUACAACAAAAAAAAUGUGCUAUAUCUGAGCCACAUGAGCCAUGAAGGUGCAAAACCAAGAGCCUCUUUUGUGCCAAAGAAAGAAUAUCGAAUUAUCUGCAAAUGCAAGCAAUAAAAUAAUCUUUAGACAGGCCUCAAGAAAUCCUCAUAUUUUUCACUGCCAGCACACCCAUGAGAACUUUGGAACUGAUCCAACAAGAAAAGACUUGUAGUUAAUGCUUUACUUUUGGUUUAUGGGGACCUCAUCUAAAAACAGGUCAGACAAACAGAUACAUCUUGACUUACAUAGAAGCUUAGUCUUUAGUUAUGUUUCUGAAAUAUGGCUGAUACAUUCACAUUCUUUGUUAUAUUCAUUGACGUCAUAGCAAGAAUAAUGACUUUAACCACUUCCUCAAAUAUUUCUUACAAGCAACUAGCUAAUAUUAUGAUACAGAUACACUUAGAGCUGUGAUUGGAUAAAACCAAGGUGAAGAACUCUCCAUCCAUGUGUUAACAAACAGAAAACAACUGUGAUCAGCCAAUGGCAAGUAAUGACGCAAAUAGUAAUUUCAUAUUGCGAGACUCAAGAGCUUUUGUACAUGAAAGUUUUAAAACUAAGAGAAAAUUCCCCCAUCCUGUUUGGAAGAAAAAAAAAAUGCACUUGAAUGAGAAUUUUGCCAAAAGAAAACACAAUAAUAUCCUAAAUAAUUGAAUUCUGCCAAAUACCAUGCCCUUACCCCACAGCGAAUAUUUAUGCCUUGAAAACUUCAAUUCUAAAUCAUUUCCCCUCUAUUUAUGUAAUUGGAGACCAUGACAAUAUGACCCGAACAUGUUUAUACUUGAGAAGAACAAACGAAAACAGAACUGAUUAUAUCCGAAUAUAAAUGACAUAAGCACCAGGAAAAAUGAAGAAAGAAAAAUACAUGAAUUUCUCCAUGCAUUUGCAGGAUCUCAUUCACUAACUUUUUAAUAAAAUUGGUGCCUAUGUAGUUUAUAACUAAUGGCCAGUGAUAUAACAACUAAUUCCACUUCAUUCUAUUCUGUUUUUGAAACUUCUUAAUAACAUGUCAAUAAACCAAAAUCAAACUAGAAACAGAAACCAUGUAACUUAAGGAAGAAGUAGAAUUGAUAUGACCUGUAGAUUUAGUACAACAUAUUUACCUCAGUGAUUGACCAGCUGAUGACCAAAGAACUAACAAGAAAGUGAGUUCGAAUCUCUGGGAAGCUAUAUAAGAUGCCCCAUGUUACAUACAAUCUUGAACCUAUCUGUGGCAGUGUUGCAGUUAUUGGAGAUCUCACCAAGCCCACUAGACCAUGAAGAAUCUCCAAAACGGCAGCAGUCUGAGCGAGAAGAAGAGGUUUCUCAACAGAAUUAUAGACAUGUUCAUGGCCUGAUUCCUUCAAAGUUCUCACAGCAAGAAACAACACCUGAGCCCAGCCAACGAAGACGGUCCAGUUAUAGAGGGUGAGGUAAAGGCGCCUCAGGAGUUCGAAAACACCCGCCAUUAGAGUGACUUAGAAGCAGAAGUAGAAAGGAAAAGGAGAGACUUAUGGAUUUAAAGGGAAGGAAGAACGAGACCUGUAGAGCAAGAGGGAAUCAGACAAGAAAUUAAGAUGUAGGU